CACCAACCCGAGCAGGGAGAUACUGUUAUUCUCCCAUUUUACAGACAAGGAAACUGAAGCACACACAGAAAUGUCCCACACGACAGGGGACCAUCCCAUGAACCACCUUCCCUUGGUCAGGCAGGUGGACUUCAUCUCUCCAACUUAUAUUUAGGGAAUGGAUGCUCAGAGGGGUUCAGACGCUUGUUUGGGGAUCAGAGCCGGGGUUUGGACCCAGGGUUGUUUGCCUCCGAGGCUCUUGACCCCCUAUUCAGGACAUUCAAUAACUAAACACAUCAACCUUCGAGGCUGCUGGCCGCACUUCAAAGGCUGACUCCUCCACCCCAGAGACUGGGACUUAGAGCCUCUGAGAGUCCAUUUCCUGCUCUGUAAAAUGGGGGAAAAACCAGUCAAGACUUCCCCAGGUUGAAGUGAGGAUUCGAUGAAAAAAAAUGCGUGUGAAACCCUCCGAGGAGUGCCUGCCUUUACCCACUCAGCUGCCUGAGUUUGGGAAUGAGUUGGAGGCCUGGUGGCUCAGACGGUAAAGAAUCCGCCUGCAGUGCUGGAGACCUGGGU